rnacentral:rRNA from 1 species
GACGAACGCUGGCGGCGUGCCUAAUACAUGCAAGUCGAACGAGAGCGCCCGGUGCUUGCACUGGUCAAUCUAGUGGCGAACGGGUGAGUAACACGUGGGUAACCUGCCCAUCAGAGGGGGAUAACAUCCGGAAACGGAUGCUAAAACCGCAUAGGUCUUCGAACCGCAUGGUUUGAAGAGGAAAAGAGGCGCAAGCUUCUGCUGAUGGAUGGACCCGCGGUGCAUUAGCUAGUUGGUGAGGUAACGGCUCACCAAGGCCGUGAUGCAUAGCCGACCUGAGAGGGUGAUCGGCCACCUUGGGACUGGGACACGGCCCAAACUCCUACGGGAGGCAGCAGUAGGGAAUCUUCCGCAAUGGACGCAAGUCUGACGGAGCAACGCCGCGUGAGUGAAGAAGGUUUUCGGAUCGUAAAACUCUGUUGUUAGAGAAGAACAAGUGCUAGAGUAACUGUUAGCGCCUUGACGGUAUCUAACCAGAAAGCCACGGCUAACUACGUG